rnacentral:misc_RNA from 1 species
GAUGAAGAACGUAGCGAAAUGCGAUAAGUAAUGUGAAUUGCAGAGUUCAGUGAAUCAUCGAAUCUUUGAACGCACAUUGCGCCCUUUGGUAUUCCAAAGGGCAUGCCUGUUCGAGCGUCAUUUGUACCCUCAAGCUUUGCUUGGUGUUGGGCGUCUUGUCUCUAGCUUUGCUGGAGACUCGCCUUAAAGUAAUUGGCAGCCGGCCUACUGGUUUCGGAGCGCAGCACAAGUCGCACUCUCUAUCAGCAAAGGUCUAGCAUCCAUUAAGCCUUUUUUUCAACUUUUGACCUCGGAUCAGGUAGGGAUACCCGCUGAACUUAAGCAUAUCAAUAAGCGGAGGA